rnacentral:misc_RNA from 1 species
UGAUACGCAUAUAUGAUCCGCCAGCUGUUUGGAGUAAACUAUGCAACAACAGAAGCCAAGAUACAUAUUAGUAAAUACUAAUGCUAGUGCUGCUCCUGCUUCACAAAAUAAUGAAUGCUCAUCUCCAGAAAGAAAACUGUCAGAAGUCCCAGUCGACAUUGCCAGGCCUCUGAACGGGUAUCAAGCGGCUGAAUUGAAAUUGAAUCGCAACCAUCCAGCCACCGUGACAUGUGGCUAUCAAUUAAGGCUUUUUAGGUCCUCAAGAAAAGUCGUUUUUAACUGUGAAAUGGAGGUUGGUUCUCAAAAGGGAGUUCAAUGGGUGUUGCAUUGCCAUAGAAUUCUUCCAAGUUGUAGAAAGCUCUCUGUUGAGGAAGAAAUACGUGUAUCACUACAUCACCAAAAUCCAACAGCGUCCAUGAGUUAGGUUUUGUGUCCCCUGUUGGAACUUUUCCAUACUUCUUCUCAGCAAAAUCCCUCAUUUUUGACGCAAUAGCAUCAAUCUGAGGGCGUGAAAAUGCUGUUGCA